GUGCUUCGGCAGCACAUAUACUAAAAACGGAACGAUACAGAGAAGAUUAGCAUGGCCCCUGCAAAAGGAACUUUUCAAAACUCAGAGUUAGAGGAAUUAGAA